CAGGAGUAGCAUGUUAGUAACGUGAAAUAAUGUACAUGAUGUUCGGAUGAAUACCAGCAAGAAUAAAACCUAGCAGACACAGUGAAGAUACAUUUGAAAGGCAGCCAGGGUAAACACUUCAGCACCUACUCACCCAUGGACUGGAAAAUGGUUGUUUGCUAAAGAAAUGGAAUACUAUUGUUUCUACAAUUAAAGAAGGCAAUGAAGCUAGUUAGUAUAAAUUCAACUUACCUGAUAGGCGAAUCGAUCGACGACGGUGUUAUAGUUGUGGUACAUUUGUGGAG